rnacentral:rRNA from 1 species
CCCUUAGAUGUUCUGGGAUGCACGCGCGUUACACUGAUUCGUUCAACGAGUUUAUGACCUUGCCUGGUGAGGUGGGGGAAUCUUUUCAAAUCGCAUCGUGAUGGGGAUAGAGUAUUGUAACUGUUAGUCUUCAACGAGGAAUUCCUAGUAAGUGCGUGUCAUCAGCUCGUACUGAUUAUGUCCCUGCCCUUUGUACACACCGCCCGUCGCUCCCACCGAUUGAAUGAUCCGAUGAAUAUCAUGGAUUGAGGAUUAUAGCAGGUUCGCCUGUCUUGAUCUUCGAGAAGUGAAGUAAAUCUUAUCAUUUAGAGGAAGGAGAAGUCGUAACA